CGUGCCGGAACCGCUUGCCCUGGCGGGCGCCGCCAUGCACAACCGGGGACUGGCCUGCUUCGUGGCGCUGCUGAUCCUGGGACUCAGCUGCGUGCACUCGCGCAAUGUGCUGCUGAUUGUUGCGGAUGACGGAGGUUUUGAAAGUGGUGCGUACAACAAUAGUGCCAUCUCCACCCCUCACCUGGAUGCCUUGGCCCACCACAGCCUCAUCUUUCGCAAUGCCUUCACCUCUGUCAGCAGCUGCUCCCCCAGCCGUGCCAGCCUCCUCACCGGCCUGCCCCAGCACCAGAAUGGCAUGUAUGGGCUGCACCAGGAUGUACAUCACUUCAACUCCUUCGACAAGGUGCAGAGCCUACCGCUGCUGCUCAGCCAGGCUGGAGUGCGUACAGGCAUCAUUGGGAAGAAGCACGUGGGUCCGGAGACUGUGUACCCCUUUGACUUUGCCUUCACGGAGGAGAACAGCUCUGUGCUGCAGGUGGGGCGGAACAUCACUAGAAUUAAGCAACUAGUCCAGAAAUUUCUGCAGACUCAUGAUGACAGGCCUUUCUUCCUCUACGUGGCUUUCCAUGACCCCCACCGCUGCGGGCACUCCCAGCCCCAGUAUGGAGCCUUCUGUGAGAAGUUUGGCAAUGGGGAGAGUGGCAUGGGGCGCAUUCCAGACUGGACACCCCAGACCUACGACCCUCAGGAUGUGAUGGUGCCUUACUUUGUCCCAGACACACCGGCAGCCCGAGCAGACCUAGCAGCCCAGUACACCACCAUCGGCCGGAUGGACCAAGGGGUAGGGCUGGUGCUCCAGGAGCUGAGAAGUGCGGGCGUACUGAACGACACCCUCAUCAUCUUCACAUCCGACAAUGGGAUUCCCUUCCCCAGUGGCAGGACCAACCUAUACUGGCCUGGUACAGCUGAACCUUUGUUGGUGUCAUCUCCAGAGCACCCACAACGUUGGGGCCAGGUCAGCGAGGCCUAUGUGAGCCUUCUAGACCUCAUGCCCACCAUCCUGGACUGGUUCAACGUUCCAUAUCCCAGCUAUGCUAUCUUUGGCUCAAAGACGAUCCAGCUCACAGGCCGAUCCCUCCUGCCAGUGCUGGAGGCAGAGCCCCUUUGGGCCACUGUCUUCAGCAGCCAGAGCCACCACGAGGUCACCAUGUCCUACCCCAUGCGCUCGGUACACCACCAGAACUUCCGCCUCAUUCACAACCUCAGCUUCAAGAUGCCAUUUCCCAUCGACCAAGAUUUCUAUGUCUCGCCGACCUUUCAGGACCUCCUGAACCGAACCACAGCUGGCCAGCCCACAGGCUGGUAUAAGGAUCUCCACCAUUACUACUACCGGGAACGCUGGGAACUCUACGAUGUCAGCCGGGACCCUCGAGAGACACAGAACCUAGCCGCUGACCCACACUUCUCGCAAGUACUGGAGAUGCUGAAAGCCCAGCUGGCCAAAUGGCAGUGGGAGACGCAUGACCCCUGGGUGUGUGCCCCUGACGGGAUCCUGGAGGAAAAGCUCACACCGCAGUGCCGACCUCUUCACAACGAGCUCUGACAGUCCCUGGGGCACUUGGCAGCCUGCCUGCACUCAGGCCCAAGGGAGGGGCAAUGGAGGCAGUGUCCACAGCCGCUCUCUAUACAUCCUUCUGAGGAGGGCUCCUCUAUAAUGUGGGAUGCCACUCCUGCCUGCCGGAGAGGACAUUCAGGACUGUCAGUCCAGAGUUUCUUCAGGGUGACCCGGCUCUCUCCAAUGCCAUGGAAGACCUCUGCAACAAGAAUGACUCAUCAGACUGUCGCCGUUCUUGGGAUUAUAGAAUCAUAGAGCUCUCCUAUGUGUGUGUAAGGGACAGGCAUGACCAUGGACACCGAGUGUGUGGGCUCUUCGAGAAAGAGGAGCUCUUGCUUCACUGUGGACACACUGUUCUGAAAGGGAAUGCCCACUCCUAAUUCUCUCAUUGAGGCCAACAGUUGAGGCCCAGGGAUGGGGUGAAACCCAUCUGGCACAUUUCUUGAUAUUUUUUUAAAUGCUUAAAGAUGGAGGUUGGAAAUUUGACCCAGUGGUUAAGAGCACUUGUUGCUUCUACAGAGGGCCCAGGUUCAGUC